rnacentral:tRNA from 1 species
CGGGCCGUGGUGUAAUGGUAGCACACAUACUUUGGGAGUAUGCAGCGUGAGUUCGAUUCUCGCCGGCCCGA